rnacentral:rRNA from 1 species
AGAGUUUGAUUCUGGCUCAGGAUGAACGCUAGCUACAGGCUUAACACAUGCAAGUCGAGGGGAAACGAUAGAGAAAGCUUGCUUUUUCUAGGCGUCGACCGGCGCACGGUGAGUAACGCGUAUCCGACCUGCCCACCACUUGGGGAUAACCUUGCGAAAGUAAGACUAAUACCCAAUGACGUCUCUAGAAGACAUCUGGAAGGGAUUAAAGAUUUAUCGGUGAUGGAUGGGGAUGCGUCUGAUUAGCUUGUUGGCGGGGUAACGGCCCACCAAGGCUACGAUCAGUAGGGGUUCUGAGAGGGUGACCGGCCACAUUGGGACUGAGACACGGCCCAA